rnacentral:ncRNA from 1 species
AUGGCAGAGGGGGGUAGAAUUCCACGUGUAGCAGUGAAAUGCGUAGAGAUGUGGAGGAAUACCGAUGGCGAAGGCAGCCCCCUGGGCCAAUACUGACGCUCAUGCACGAAAGCGUGGGGAGCAAACAGGAUUAGAUACCCUGGUAGUCCACGCCCUAAACGAUGUCAACUAGUUGUUGGGGAUUCAUUUCCUUAGUAACGUAGCUAACGCGUGAAGUUGACCGCCUGGGGAGUACGG